rnacentral:misc_RNA from 1 species
UCCGAGUUGACCCCGGCAGUCUCCUAUGAGUCCCCACCAUCACGUGCUGGCAACAUAGAACGAGGGUUGCGCUCGUUGCGGGACUUAACCCAACAUCUCACGACACGAGCUGACGACAACCAUGCACCACCUGUCCACCAGCCCCGAAGGGAAACCCCAUCUCUGGGGCGGUCCGGUGAAUGUCAAGCCUUGGUAAGGUUCUUCGCGUUGCAUCGAAUUAAUCCGCAUGCUCCGCCGCUUGUGCGGGCCCCCGUCAAUUCCUUUGAGUUUUAGCCUUGCGGCCGUACUCCCCAGGCGGGGCACUUAAUGCGUUAGCUACGGCGCGGAAAACGUGGAAUGUCCCCCACACCUAGUGCCCAACGUUUACGGCAUGGACUAC